rnacentral:rRNA from 1 species
UCCAGAGGGGGCAAGCGUUGUUCGGAGUUACUGGGCGUAAAGCGUGCGUAGGCGGUUUUGUAAGUUUGGUGUGAAAUCUCCCGGCUCAACUGGGAGGGUGCGCCGAAAACUGCAAGGCUGGAGUGUGGGAGAGGUAGGCGGAAUUCCUGGUGUAGCGGUGAAAUGCGUAGAUAUCAGGAGGAACACCUGUGGUGUAGACGGCUUACUGGACCAUGACUGACGCUGAGGCACGAAAGCGUGGGGAGCAAACAGG